rnacentral:lncRNA from 1 species
ACUAUGACCCAUGUCAUGCAUUGUAUUAUGUCCUCCCACAGAGAUAUGUUGGAGUCCCAAACAUUAGUACCUCAAAAUGUGACCUUACUUGGACAUAGGGUUUUGACAAUGGUGAUCAAGCUAAAACAAGGUCAUCAGGGUGAACUUUGAUCCAACAUGACCAGUGUCUGUAUAAAAAGGUUGAAAGUGUACAUAAAGACACACACAUGGGGAGAUGCCUUGUGAAAAUGAAGGCAGAGAUAGGGUGAUACACCUACAAGCGAAGUAACACCGAGAAUUGCCAGCCAAUCACUAUUUUUCCCUCAAGAUAAGCAGCUUAAUAAGAAUAUGCUGACUAGGGGAAUCCCUGAGUGGCUCAGCAGUUUCGCGCCUGCCUUUGGCCCAGGGCGCGAUCCUGGAGUCCCGGGAUCGAGUCCCGUGUCGGGCUCCCGGCAUGGAGCCUGCUUCUCCCUCUCCUCUGCCUGUGUCUCUGCCUCUCUCUCUCUCUAUGUCUAUCAUAAAUAAAUAAAAAUAAAUUAAAAAAAAAAAGAAUAUGCUGACUAGGGAUGCCUGGGUGGCACAGUUGGUUAAGUGUCCAACUCUUGGUUUUGGCUCAGGUGGCGAUCUCAGGGUCAGGAGAUGGAGCUCGUGUAGGGCUCAGAGUGGAGCCUGCUUGGGAGACAUUCUCUUCCCUCUCUCUCUGUCCCUCCCCACUGUGUGCUCUCUCUCUCUCUCCCUCAAAUAAAUAAAUAAACCUUUAAAAAAAAAAGAAUAUGCUAAUAAGAAAUAGAGUUUUAGAAUUUGUAACAUUUCCAUACAGAGAGUUAUAGUAAAAAAAAUUUUAAAAAGGAAAAAUCUAUACAAAAUGUAUCAUCAGUCAAUCCUGUCUCAAAUCUAAGGAUAUUUCUUCUGGUUUAUACAAUAAAAAUACUUCAUUCUAAGAAUUAAAAGUCUAGAAAAUAAAGAGUUUCCCAGGUGAAUUAAAUCAUGCAUUCCAGUGUCCAAUGAGGGUAUGAUAUGGCCAUAAGUGUGUUCAAGUAGAUGCAGAUAUUCUCUAUAGAGGAGAAAAUGAAAGGAAGUCUGAGGUCAGGAGAGCAGGGCACAUUGAUGAGAAUAAGUAGGGAGCCAAGGAGUCUCCAGGCAUGAAAAAAAUGGAUGGUCUUUUACCCACUGAUAGGAUUUUGCACACACUUUCACUUAACAGCUGGGCUAGAAUUUUUAUGAGUUUUUAACACCCAUUUUAUUAUACAUCCUCCCUUCACAUCCAUUCUCACUAAAAUUUUCCAAGGUAUUUCUUAUAAACAUUUACUUUUGUUUUUACAUUUUGUUUCUUAAUUGAAAUCUAAUAGUAAGAUGUUAGUCUUCAGAAAUUUGCCUCACAAAAGAAAAAAACAACUAUAAUAAGGUAUUAAAUCCACAACACCAGAGGUGUCUCUAACAAAACAAAACAAAAACAAAUAAAAAUGGCUAUCAUAAGAAUGAUAAAUCUGAAAUGGAUGAACUCUGGUCCUAUAGUCAUAUUUUGAAAAGGAAGAAAAAAUAAAGUAUUGGUCUCAAGGUCACUGUUUCACUGGAAUAAUUAAUGUUUACUGUUCCCUGCAUAAAAUACCUAAACUGAACAAUAGAGCUAUCCACAGGACUGUAGUCAGUAGAACACUCUAGCUAGCAAAAUACUCUCAUAUACCAUGUACUUUGGGUUGCACGCUUACCAAAAUUCACUUAUGUGUUCCCAGCCCUAUUUAUGCCAGUUGAGCCUAUUAAUGUAAUUACAUAAUUCAGUUAAACAAUAUUUCUAUAAAAUGUGAGUUGCAAUAGAGAGAGAAUUGUUGCUUUACCAAAACUAGUCAAAUGCUUUGGAGAGACCCAAUAAGGAAAAAAUGCUUUUUAAAAAAAUUGUCAUUGUGGGGCAGGGAUGAUAAAAAUCUAUACAGACCUCUCUACUUGGGUUGCUAGUCACUGUCUUUAUAUUCUUAAUUAACGUUAAAAAAAUUGAAACUGGAAUUUCUGAACAUUUCUGAAAUUGAAACUGGAAUUGAAACUGGAAUUUGUAGAGGCUCCUUUACGGAUAUAGCUUAUGCAAAAACAACAUCCCUACAACUUAUUGCAAAGGCCUUGGCUCCACAGCAAAACAAUGGUGAAUAAAUGUGCAUUUAUGGAUUUUAAGCAAAAGUCAAAUGUGUUGUGUAUAUAUGUGAUUUACGAUUCCCCCAACUUAAGCAACUUACUUGAUCAAUCAGUCAACAACCAUUUUCAAUUGUACGGAAUAAGAAGUCUUCUAUGAUAAAAAAGAAAAUGGCAAACCAGGAAGGAUUUUUUCUUAACCUGCAUAUAAUGAACAGAGAUAGAAAGCAAUAGACUCAAAUAUUCAAACCAAGAAACAGAAUCCACUUCAAUACCCAAGUCUACUUGUAUCACUUAAAUGAGAAACAGCCUAGCUAUAACUAUAAGCAUUAAAUGUUGUAUAAAUCUGAGGCACGUAGACUCCAAUUAAUUACUGCAUGAUAUUACCAUUUCUUCUAUAACUAUGUAAUAAUACCAACUGCCUAUAAUCAGAAGGAUUUAGUAGACAUUUAUUGAUGGAAAUCAGAUGAUUUCAUCCACAGUGUCUGAAUUACUUUGAUAUACUUGAGCCUGAAGCAAAAUAAUGUAAUAAAAAAACAACAUACAGAUGAGAACCUCAAUUUUUCUCUACAUAUGAAUCUGUCACUGAUUUGGGAAGAAUCAAAUCUAAGUCCAACCAGGUGAAGAUGUUCCAUACAUUAUUCUUCCCAAUUCAAUAAAAAAAAAAUUUCCCUUUCCAGUAUGUUUAUAUACUGUUCCUGACUUUGUGGUAUCCUGGACAUUGAGGGAGCCCAGAGACACAGAGUAUUACCUUAGCAAAUGUUAAACAAAGCACAUAUGAUUUAUAGAACAUUUUCUUAAGAGUUUGCUUGAAAGACCACCUGAAGUCUUAAGCCCUCAAAAUAAUAACCAAUAGAUUAAUGAGUAGAGUGGGAAGGUAGAUCUUAUGAGUAAAAUGAAUGAGAAAUAGGUUAUAUGGCAGGCUGGAAAUUUCUUUCCCUCUUUCUCCCCCUCCUUCCACUCUCCCCCUCAAAAGUCCAGCAGUAGUCUAUUAUGGCGCUAAAAAAAAAAAAAAAAAAAAAUUCUACCAGUCAUACUGGUAGUUUAGUUUUUAAACUUUACUAUCACUAUCUAUGAAACUGCAACUACUCCUAGGAGGUGCAACCUAAAGCUUGAUCUCCUAACACUUUGUCCCAAACUAUUUUCCAGUUUGGCUUGAAGAGUAAGACUUUGCAUCCAGGCAAGGAAUGAUGAUGGGAACAAGGCAAUUUCAGAAGAGGAGAAAGGCCUGGAGCAGAAAAGGUGAAGGGCUGCCAAAGUUCCUUGGGCACAAAUAAAUUUCCAAAAUAGGAAUUCAAAGACUCCUGAAAACGCACUUUAUCAACCACCAAGUUCUUCAGAUUGAAGAUUAUUAAAAACGAUUGAACUGGUUUACAUACUUAAACACAUACUUAGGUUCUAAUUGCUGUUAUGAAAUAUAAGUUGGCACAGGCAGGAGGGUGAGAGGGGAUGUUGGGGUCUCUUCCUUCUUCACCUACUCUUUUUUUUUUUUAAUUUUUUUUUUUUAAGAUUUUAUUUAUUUAUUCAUGAUAGUCACAGAGAGAGAGAGAGAGGCAGAGACACAGGCAGAGGGAGAAGCAGGCUCCAUGCACCGGGAGCCCGACGUGGGAUUCGAUCCCGGGUCUCCAGGAUCGCGCCCUGGGCCAAAGGCAGGCGCCAAACCGCUGCGCCACCCAGGGAUCCCUCUUCACCUACUCUUAAUAGUAACAUCUUAACACAAGGGGAACCUCAGAUACUGUUUGAUAAUUUCAAAAUAGGAGUGAAUUAGGAUGUGAAUUGGGUUGCAAGGUAAGCUAAAGACUUGUUACUCCAAGCAUUACAGACCAGCAUCACCUAGGAGCUUAUCAAAAUGUAGAAUCCUGAGCCUCACUCCAAAUCUACAGAAGUUCAUUUGCAUUUUAAUAAAGCUAAUCCAUUAAGUUUAAGAAACAAUGGGCUAGGACUUACCAUGAAGGCCUAUUUGCACAGCAAGCUUUAUUAUUAUUAUUAUAUUUAUAUUAUCAUGAACAUAGAUUUAGAGUAGCUUAGAACAGAAUGACUGACAUAGGUUACAGGUUGGGGCACUUAGGUGGCUCAGUGGGUUAAGUGUACAACUCUUGAUUUCAACUCAGGUCAUUAUCUCAGGGUGGUGAGAUCAAGCCUUGUGCUGGGCUCCAUGCUCAGUGCAGAGUCAGCUUGAGAUUCUCUCUUCCUCUGC